AACCGCCUGAAGUAAUAAGGUGCUGACUCAUCAUCAUCUAUUGCCACUGUUGCAGUGCUAUGGCAAUAGAUGAUGAUGAGUCAGCACCUCCCGAUG